rnacentral:rRNA from 1 species
UACGGAGGGAGCUAGCGUUAUUCGGAAUUACUGGGCGUAAAGCGCACGUAGGCGGCUUUGUAAGUAAGAGGUGAAAGCCCAGAGCUCAACUCUGGAAUUGCCUUUUAGACUGCAUCGCUUGAAUCAUGGAGAGGUCAGUGGAAUUCCGAGUGUAGAGGUGAAAUUCGUAGAUAUUGGGAAGAACACCAGUGGCGAAGGCGGCACACUGGCCCAUUACUGACGCUGAAGCUCGAAAGCGUGGGGAGCAAACAGG